CAGAGGUCGAGUUCUACGGCAAGUACUACGCCAAGCCGACGACAGUGUGGUCUCUAGGCAUCCUGCUGUUUGCAAUGGUGUGCGGAGCUUAUCCCUCAGACAGCGACCUGUACAUGAUCAACUCAAACAUCUGGAGCAGUCCUGGCCUAUCACAAGAGUGCUGCCAGAUGAUUUGUGAUUGUCUGCAACCUUGGCAACAGCAAAGACCCAUUCUGAAGAAGAUGCAUCUCCACGACUGGUUUAAGGUCAUGGAGUAGUUGAUUCCUGUCUUCAGUCAGUUGUGGUGUCGAGGGCUGUGGGAGUGGAGCGAGGCAGGUGGAGCAAAGACUAAUAAGUGACACCUGUCCCAUGAAGGAGCUCCGGAAGGAUAAAAGGAGGAGGGAUGACAGAGAAGACCACACCUGGGAGAUUUACAUUCUGUUAAUAAAUUUAUGCCACUUACUUUCUUUUUGUGGUUUAUUUGGCUUGAAAGUCAUCUUGUGACAAUGGAUUGUUGAGAUUUGACUGUUUAUUGACUUGAUAAUGCACAUUGACUUGAUUGUUGACGCUUCUUAAUGCACAACUUACUUAACA